AACGAACGCUGGCGGCAGGCCUAACACAUGCAAGUCGAGCGAUCUCUUCGGAGAUAGCGGCGGACGGGUGAGUAACGCGUGGGAACGUGCCCUGGGGUACGGAACAACAGUUGGAAACGACUGCUAAUACCGUAUGAUGUCUUUCGAGACCAAAGAUUUAUCGCCCUGGGAUCGGCCCGCGUUGGAUUAGGUAGUUGGUGGGGUAACGGCCUACCAAGCCUACGAUCCAUAGCUGGUUUGAGAGGAUGACCAGCCACACUGGGACUGAGACACGGCCCAG
rnacentral:rRNA from 1 species